UUCUUUCCCGGGGCAGUUAUGGGCUAAGUCAUCCUUUAUGACGGGCCAACUGUGUCCACAGUUCCUCUGCACAUCCGGUGGGUUUCCCCACUUGCAAGGCAAGGGCGUCAGGUGCAGAGUAGGAAGCUGGGCUUGAUCUUGGAUCUCCCAGCUCUGCCCUAUCCCCUACACCCUGUAUUCCCACCCUCACCCAGCUACAGAGCCUCUGCAGCCGCAACCUCGGCAGUCACGGAGGGCUCUUGUCUACCAGCAGGAACUCAAGUCUACCAGCUGCUUAGGCCUCCUUAGCCCUACAGACCACAGCUCUGCCCUGCUUCCUCCCGUGUGCCCUAAUAGCUCAGCUCGAGCCAGCACGUGCUCAGGAAGGCAUCCUGGAACCGAACAUCCUGCAGGAGAGAUAGAAGGACAGGAAUGCCCCGGGAAGACGUCAAGAACAGUCAUGGCCACCCGGGUGUACUGCCCCAAGGCUGAGGCCCCGGUGAGCGUGAUCAGAGAGGCUCCCAGGGUGUAAGGGAUCUGGGAAAGCCAACCUGGAGGGACUGUCAGCAACCACAUCAACACGUGCAAAGGCCCUGGGGUACAACGUGCAACCGGGCGAGGAGCCCACUGGCGGGUGGAUCAGAGAGCAAGCAGGUAGCACUUCAAGAAUCCUAUAAGUAGGUCCAGGGUUCCACCCAGCUGAGGACAACACCAGUGGACUGGGGAAGAAGGGACCUGCAUGGUGGUACAGACAGGAAAGCAUUGCCCACAGGCCAGCCAGUCCAUGCUGGCCAACCCGAAAAGUGCGUCCAGAGCCCGGCCACCGCAGCAGCAGAUUCCUGGACCCAAAGCUAGCCUCUGACCUCCAAACCUGGAAGCCAGGGCCGCAGCAUUC